AAUGCAUCACUCACCAAGUUCCAGAAGAAGACAAACAUAAUAGCAUACACCAGAGAUGUAAAUGAUAAACAUAGCAUGUUUAACUACCAUAAAGAUUUAAUAAAAAUCAAAAAAUGGCUACAGCAAGGCAUAUGACAAGAAGACCGAUGUGAAACAAAGAAUAAUGGCCGAUGUAUCAUGACCACAAAGGGACACACAUAACCAAAAUGUGACACAAAAGAAGCAGAGGUGAAAAGUUACUAAAACUGACCCACAAAGAAACCACAAAGGGACAUAAAGCAAUCAAAAUUAGACACAAGACAGCAAAUAAUUAGCAGAAAAAUGACCAAUAUAAUAUACAUUAAAACCAUGAAGAAAUACAGAUCUCAAUAAAAGAAAUACAAAAUGAACAACAAAAGUGUGUUAUGAUGCAAAACAUAUUCAACA